rnacentral:rRNA from 1 species
UACGUAGGGUGCGAGCGUUGUCCGGAAUUAUUGGGCGUAAAGGGCUCGUAGGCGGUUUGUCACGUCGGGAGUGAAAACUCGGGGCUUAACUCCGAGCCUGCUUCCGAUACGGGCUGACUAGAGGUAUGCAGGGGAGAACGGAAUUCCUGGUGUAGCGGUGAAAUGCGCAGAUAUCAGGAAGAACACCCGUGGCGAAGGCGGCUCUCUGGGACGGUACUGACGCUGAGACGCGAAAGCGUGGGGAGCGAACAGG